AGCUCACCAAACUGCUCAGUCCAGAUGAGCUGGGACUUUCUUUCCCUCCAAAUUGGUCCGAAUGACCCACAGAAGUUAAUGAAUGGCUCCUAAAAUAACAGCAGACACAAUUUACCCAGGACUGAGCUGUGAAAGGAUGUUCCCGCUGUGAACACACACAUUACAAAGGAGAUACUCAGAACCACUCCCUUUUCUCUGCUGGAGGGAGACCUAUCUUUUACAACACGUUUGGAGGGACAGACUUUUAAUAUGCCAACAGAUGUCGUCAAACUCAACAUUCAGUCACAAGGGAACCGAGGGGACCUGUUAAAAUACAACUCAAUUUAAAAAGAUUAAUUUUAGAGGCUGUUUGGGGGAAGAAUAAAGGAAAUCAUUUUAAAGAACUCCUGUGGUUUUGAUAUUUUUACCAUUUUGAAAGGGGGUUGGGGGGGUGGGGAGGAAGUGAAAAAAUAAAUAAAUAAAAUUUUAAUGUGACUGCCUCAGCUCCAGUUACGUCAAACUAGAUGGACUUUAAUGGGCCUUUGUAAUAUAUAUCCAUCUAAGAAGUGGACUUCACCCCUCACCAGUGUCAAUGAUGGAUCCAAAUCCACCAGUCAAUGUCGAAUUGUGUUCUGGGCUCGAAGCUGAAAACCAUUCAUACCAUUUGCCUCAUUCAGGAUGGUGUCUGCGUCUCAAACCGAACGGAAACAAAUCUUGGAACCUGGGGGGGCAGAGAGUGGGGGCAGGGGCUGGAGGGUGAAGGUGACAUCACCCAGCUCCCUGUUCCCCCUCUCCCCCCCCCCCCAACCAAAACCCCCCAUCUCUGCACCCCCACCCCUGCUACAACAUUACCCCAAACAGAUUAGGUGGGAGUGUGAGUGCCGGACUGGAGCGAGUCGUGUAAAUAUAUUAACCCCUCACCUCCCCCGCCCACCCCCACCCCCUCCCGGAACUGAAGUGACAAGAACCAGAGGGGGGGUGAAUUUGGACUGAUGUUUUGACCAAUGGGAACGUCCAUGUGAAUUCACCACACACUCGGGUACACGUUGAAUUAUUGCCUUUUUAUGUUAAUUGUUUACAAUGUUCAUACACUGUGUUUGGUUCAAAUUGUUAAGCGCUCAAUAAAUGUGUUGGAAAAAUUG